rnacentral:rRNA from 1 species
UACGAAGGGGGCUAGCGUUGUUCGGAUUUACUGGGCGUAGAGCGCACGUAGGCGGAUCGAUCAGUCAGGGGUGAAAUCCCAGAGCUCAACUCUGGAACUGCCUUUGAUACUGUCGAUCUGGAGUAUGGAAGAGGUGAGUGGAAUUCCGAGUGUAGAGGUGAAAUUCGUAGAUAUUCGGAGGAACACCAGUGGCGAAGGCGGCUCACUGGUCCAUUACUGACGCUGAGGUGCGAAAGCGUGGGGAGCAAACAGG